GAGUUUGAUCGUGGCUCAGAUUGAACGCUGGCGGCAUGCCUUACACAUGCAAGUCGAACGGCAGCAUGAUCUAGCUUGCUAGAUUGAUGGCGAGUGGCGAACGGGUGAGUAAUACAUCGGAACGUGCCCUGUAGUGGGGAUAACUAGUCGAAAGAUUAGCUAAUACCGCAUACGACCUGAGGGUGAAAGUGGGGGACCGCAAGGCCUCAUGCUAUGGGAGCGGCCGAUGUCUGAUUAGCUAGUUGGUGGGUAAAGGCCCACCAAGGCGACGAUCAGUAGCUGGUCUGAGAGGACGAUCAGCCACACUGGGACUGAGACACGGCCCAGACUCCUACGGGAGGCAGCAGUGGGGAAUUUUGGACAAUGGGCGAAAGCCUGAUCCAGCAAUGCCGCGUGUGUGAAGAAGGCCUCGG
rnacentral:rRNA from 1 species